ensembl:lncRNA
CAUUGAAUUUCUCCAUGUGGGAAAAAUGUCACUCACUGAUACUUGCUCAAUGUUUGUGGAGACCAAACAGUGGAUGCUAGCACAGUGAGGGGGUGGGUGGUGCAUUUCUGCAGUGAUGACGAAGACAUGAAAGACAAGCCACGUUCUGGAUGGCCAUGCACAGCUGUCACACCACAAAAUGAAAAGCAUUUUGAUCAGUUCAUCUGUGUGAACUGGUGGGUUAUUACCAUGGAUCUGUGUAUGGUGCUGAGUUCAAUACAUUGAAAACAAUGGUAGUAAUGUUGGAAUAUUGCAGUUUGCACCACGUGAGCCGCACAAAUGCUCACACAAGAACAGAAAGAACAUCAUGCACAAGUUUGUCAGGAUUUAUUGAACAAAUACAAGACUGAAGGUGACAGUUUAAUGGAUCGUAUCAUUACUGAUGAUGACAUGUGAUAUCACCACUAUGAGCUAGAGUCAAAAUGGCAGUCCAUGGAGUGAUGACAUGUGAAAUCCCCAUCAAAGAAAAAGAUCAAGAUGCAGCCCUCAGCGGCUCACUAAAGUAGUCUCAGAGAUCUUAUCUUUCAUUUGCAAGAAAUUUUGCACUCAGGUUUAACUCUCUUUAGCUAAAUCCCCCUGAAGAAUGCAUCCAGUGUUAUGACAAAGCACAGAAGCAAGGCCACAGCAGAAGUGAUGAAAAGCCAACUAAAAUCAAGCCAUCUCAUUUUGUUCUGUGGAAGGCGACUGGGGGAAUUCAUGAUGGAAAAGGGACUCUUAAGAGCUGUCAUGUAGAAGGAAAAAAGGACGGGUGGAAUUAGAAGCUCAGCAGAUUCUGAGUAAGUUAUUGGGAAAAUCUUAAAACUCAAGCUCAGUUUGAAGGUCAAUAUAGUGAUCACUGAAUAUUAAGCACUUUAACAGAAAACUAAUUCUUCUUGUUGAAGUACACUAGGGAUGAUAGUUAAUCCACUCUUUGUGAGCUCUAUAUACAUAAUGUCCAGUGCUUCAAAACUGACUCACUCUUCUGUCUUAGCUUUUAGCUCUGGCAUAAGGAAAUAUGGAGCAGUUCCCAUGCUUGUGGAUCCAAUACAUCUCUGCACAGAUGCUUUUUUGAUGUUUGCAGUCUUCAAUAUCCAAGGGAUUUGUUUUUCUUUUGAGAGGUUUAUGGUCCUGAUAUAGACUUGAAGAAAUACUCAAAAAUAGUGAAAAGAAAAACUUUAGCCCCUGUCCUCCAUGACUUUAAAUCAAUACUUGCUGUGAUUUCUGAAAUAAUCUAAAAUUUAUUAAAACCUAUCCAGAAGACCACUCUUUGUCGAUGUUAAAAGGCAAUUUUCUAUUUGUAUUCUGACUUUUCAAGUGAACUGCUAAAGUGAACCUCUGACAAAAUGGAAGUAUCAGUACAGUGUCCAAGGCUAUGGAAGGCUGAAGACCAUCAGAGCUUCCUGUCAGAUCUGUGCAGUGCAGAGUCAGCAGAUUUGAUCCAAUGUAUUCGCUUUGUAAAUGUCCCUUUUUUUCUUUUCCACUCUAGAUCUAAUCUUGAAGCUUGCUGACCUAUAACUAAAGCAUGACCUGGAGAACAGAUUGUGCUUGAUUUCAGUGACUAAUCAAAGUUGUCAGCUAUACAGAUGUGAAGGUUUGCAUACAUUUGCACCACUACCAAGUGACCUCGGUUUUCUUCUUGCAGCCUACUGGAGAACUAAGUGCUUG